rnacentral:rRNA from 1 species
UGUGUAGGCGGUUGUUUAAGUUUGGUGUGAAACCUCCCGGCUCAACUGGGAGGGUGCGCCGAAUACUGAAUGACUUGGAGUGCGGGAGAGGAAAGUGGAAUUCCUGGUGUAGCGGUGAAAUGCGUAGAUAUCAGGAGGAACACCGGUGGUGUAGACGGCUUUCUGGACCGUAACUGACGCUGAGACACGAAAGCGUGGGUAGCAAACA